rnacentral:rRNA from 1 species
GUAGGUGGCAAGCGUUGUCCGGAAUUAUUGGGCGUAAAGCGCGCGCAGGCGGUUCUUCAAGUCUGAUGUGAAAGCCCACGGCUCAACCGUGGAGGGUCAUUGGAAACUGGAGAACUUGAGUACAGAAGAGGAAAGCGGAAUUCCACGUGUAGCGGUGAAAUGCGUAGAGAUGUGGAGGAACACCAGUGGCGAAGGCGGCUUUCUGGUCUGUAACUGACGCUGAGGCGCGAAAGCGUGGGGAGCAAACGGGGGAUUAGAUACCCUGGUAGUCCACGCCGUAAACGAUGAGUGCUAAGUGUUAGGGGGUUUCCGCCCCCUUAGUGCUGCAGCUAACGCAUUAAGCACUCCGCCUGGGGAGUACGGCCGCAAGGCUG